UACAAAACACUCGGUUCGCUAGAGCAGUACAUUGGAUCACACUACACUUCUCAGACGGGGCCUUAUAUUUUCGAUUCUCUCUCCUCUUCUCGCUCUCGUGUCGCUAGCUCGCCCGAUCGUCUCCGAUAUAAGUCGUCUUCGUCCGUCUAUUGAGAUUAGGAUCUGUAGUGGCAUACAGACGGGAGCAGUGCUGCAACAUCCAGUCCGUCACCUCCCUCUGCCACAAAACCAGUAUGCUCCAAACCAGACCUUACCCAUGGGCCUUUAAUUGAAGAAACCUCGUUUGAAUUUGUUAAUCCUAACUUCGAAGCACCCACAUCUCAAGUGGGUAACCAACCCUCCCUCAACCAAAACCAGCCCAGCCUCUGCCACCAGACCAGCCCUGCCCUCCCCUUAACCAUGGCUUCCUAAAUGCCGACUUUGAGGUGACCACUUCUGAAUUGCCACUAGCUCCGGAAGUUCCCAACCAGGCAUCAAUCUAAGGAUUUCUUAAUCCUACCUUCCCAUAUGAGCACUUCUCACUCAAUCAAGACAGCACAUCAAGGGUUCCCUAACCCUAUUCAGAACUUCCACAAUGAUUAUCUCACUUCUCAAGUGGCCCCGAAUCAAACUAGUAAGUCCUUCCACAAUAUUCAGCCCACCUGCCCACCCAUCUUAAAUCCAGCAUCAUAUUCCAAACCUUCUGUAUUUUUUUUGUAUUUGGAGUUUCUAGUUGAGGUAAUGACAUGUGAUCCUAGAUCAGCAACUUUGAAUUCUUAAUUCCUUUAAAUGUCGCUUCUUUUUCCUUAAUAUAUUGGGGUUGGUAUUCAUUGGGCUUCUAUUUCUCUGUGCAAUUGCUUUUUUUCUUUUUUCAUUCUUUUUCCUGAAUGUGAAUUGAUAUUAAUUGCUUUAAUUGUCUUCUAUUUCUUUCAUUAGUGCAAUUGCUUUUUUCUUUUUUCAUUCUACUUGAAUGUGGAUUGUGAUGAACAAAGCUUGCCAAGUGUCCAAGUUGGCCUUGAUUCCUCUCAUCUUAUGCUCCACAUUCGACUCCCUUAUGUUGUUUCUACUCUACUACUUUUUCUAUCUCCCACAGUUCUCGACAUGUCCCAAAGAUGUUGAAGGGUUUAUUUAUGUACCCCAGAAGCCCUGUAUUAUCAUUAUUAGUAUUUGUUUCUUACUUACUUUCUGUUUCCUCCUAAUAGUAGCAUUAAUUAAAUUUUGAGUUAAAUAAAUCUAAAAAAUUUCAAGGUUUGGUUCUGGCUUGGGGUCCUUAAGGACCGGAAAAGCAGCCUCAAAGUAAUAUUGAAUUAAAUCUUAUAUCCAUACCAAGUCAGCUAUUGUUUUUGCAUUGGUCAGGGAAAACAAUAUGGCCCAUUCCAGUAGGCCGCAAUAACAACCAAAUUCCACCAUAAACAUUAACACCUAAAAAAAAAAAAGAAAAAAAAAAAGAAGUUCAAA